rnacentral:rRNA from 1 species
AGAGCGAACGCUGGCGGCAGGCCUAAUACAUGCAAGUCGAACGGACCCUUCGGGGUUAGUGGCGGACGGGUGAGUAACACGUGGGAACGUGCCCUUUGGUUCGGAACAACUCAGGGAAACUUGAGCUAAUACCGAAUGUGCCCCCUCCUUUGAUUAGGGGGGUGGGAAAGAUUUAUCGCCAUUGGAGCGGCCCGCGUCUGAUUAGCUAGUUGGUGGGGUAAAGGCCCACCAAGGCUACGAUCAGUAGCUGGUCUGAGAGGAUGAUCAGCCACACUGGGACUGAGACACGGCCCAGACUCCUACGGGAGGCAGCAGUAGGGAAUCUUGCGCAAUGGGCGAAAGCCUGACGCAGCCAUGCCGCGUGAAUGAUGAAGGUCUUAGGAUUGUAAAAUUCUUUCAGCGGGGACGAUAAUGACGGUACCCGCAGAAGAAGCCCCGGCUAACUUCGUGCCAGCAGCCGC